GGUCUAUUGGGGUAAUGGCUAUCCUGUUCGACUGUCCAUCGAGCGAUGUGGGUUCGAUUCCCACAUAGACCG
rnacentral:tRNA from 1 species